UCCAGCGGUAGUCAGCUAAGCAGGCCUCACUCAUGCCUGAAGUAGUGUUACUCUGCUGGAAGAGAAAGGCACUGCUGUUUGUACUCCGUCAGGUUUGGCUGUUUUAGUCAUUUCUGAUGAUCAGUACUGGUGAUGCCAUGCUUCCUGAGAGUGGACUGUACUCACAAAAUGGGGCAGCCCUAGUCUGAAAGCAAACAUC